rnacentral:rRNA from 1 species
AACGAACGCUGGCGGCAUGCCUAACACAUGCAAGUCGAACGAGACCUUCGGGUCUAGUGGCGCACGGGUGCGUAACGCGUGGGAACCUGCCCUUAGGUUCGGAAUAACUCCCCGAAAGGGGUGCUAAUACCGGAUAAUGUCUUCGGACCAAAGAUUUAUCGCCUUUGGAUGGGCCCGCGUUGGAUUAGCUAGUUGGUAGGGUAAAAGCCUACCAAGGCGACGAUCCAUAGCUGGUCUGAGAGGAUGAUCAGCCACACUGAGACUGAGACACGGCCCAGACUCCUACGGGAGGCAGCAGUGGGGAAUAUUGGACGAUGGGCGAAAGCCUGAUCCAGCAAUGCCGCGUGAGUGAUGAAGGCCUUAGGGUUGUAAAGCUCUUUUACCCGGGAUGAUAAUGACAGUACCGGGAGAAUAAGCGCCGGCUAACUCCGUG